CCUACGGGGGGCAGCAGUGAGGAAUAUUGGUCAAUGGUCGGGAGACUGAACCAGCCAAGCCGCGUGAGGGAUGAAGGUACAGAGUAUCGUAAACCUCUUUUGUCAGGGAACAAAGGCGGGGACGUGUCCCCGGAUGAGUGGACCUGAAGAAAAAGCAUGGGCUAACUCCGUGCCAGCAGCCGCGGUAAUACGGAGGAGGAGAGCGUUAUCCGGAUUUAUUGGGUUUAAAGGGUGCGCAGGCGGUCUGUUAAGUCAGCGGUAAAAGCCCGGGGCUAAACCCCGGCACGCUGUUGAAACUGGCAGUCUCGAGUGGGAGAGAAGUAUGCGGAAUGCGCGGUGUAGCGGUGAAAUGCAUAGAUAUCGCGCAGAACUCCGAUUGCGAAGGCAGCAUGCCGGCUCCACACUGACGCUGAGGCACGAAAGCGUGGGUAUCGAACAGGAUUAGAUACCCCUGUAGUC
rnacentral:rRNA from 1 species